UAAACGACUCUCGGCAACGGAUAUCUUGGCUCACGCAUCGAUGAAGAACGUAGCAAAAUGCGAUACUUGGUGUGAAUUGCAGAAUCCCGUGAACCAUCGAGUUUUUGAACGCAAGUUGCGCCCGAAGCCUUCUGGCCGAGGGCACGUCUGCCUGGGCGUCACGU
rnacentral:rRNA from 1 species